rnacentral:rRNA from 1 species
CCUACGGGUGGCAGCAGUGAGGAAUAUUGGUCAAUGGACGGAAGUCUGAACCAGCCAUGCCGCGUGCAGGAAGACGGCCCUAUGAGUUGUAAACUGCUUUUGUACAAGGGUAAACCUGAAUACGUGUAUUCAGCUGAAAGUACUGUACGAAUAAGGAUCGGCUAACUCCGUGCCAGCAGCCGCGGUAAUACGGAGGAUCCAAGCGUUAUCCGGAUUUAUUGGGAUUAAAGGGUGCGUAGGAGGGUUGCUAAGUUAGUGGUGAAAGGUCCGAGCUUAACUCGGGAACUGCCUCUAAUACUGUCAGUCUAGAGAGUAGAUGCGGUAGGCGGAAUGUAUGGUGUAGCGGUGAAAUGCUUAGAGAUCAUGCAGAACACCGAUUGCGAAGGCAGCUUACCAAUCUAUAACUGACGUUGAGGCACGAAAGCGUGGGGAGCAAACAGGAUUAGAUACCCCUGUAGUC